rnacentral:rRNA from 1 species
GACGAACGCUGGCGGCGUGCCUAACACAUGCAAGUCGAGCGAAGAGACUAGGACCUUCUUCCGUUGAUGAUUGCCGAGCGCGUGAGUGACACACGUGCAAACUCCACCUAUCAGACGGGGAAAACCUCGAAAAACCGGCUCAUACACCGGACAAUAUAUUUAACCGUAUGCACUAUCAGGGAAAGUCGGUGUUUCUGUAUCGUAUCGCUGCAUCCGCGCCGCAUUAGCUAGUUGGUAAGGUCACGGCUUACCACGGCGACGAUGCGUAGCCGAACUGAGAGGGUGAUCGGCCACACUGGAACUGAGACACGGUCCAGACUCCUACGGGAGGCAGCAGUAGGGAAUCUUCCGCAAUGGGCGAAAGCCUGACGGAGCAACGCCGCGUGAGUGAUGAAGGUCUUCGGAUCGUAAAACUCUGUUAUUAGGGAAGAACAAAUGUGUAAGUAACUAUGCACGUCUUGACGGUACCUAAUCAGAAAGCCACGGCUAACUACGUG